GACGAACGCUGGCGGCGUGCUUAACACAUGCAAGUCGAACGGAAAGGCCCUGAUUUUGUGGGGUGCUCGAGUGGCGAACGGGUGAGUAACACGUGAGUAACCUGCCCUUGACUUUGGGAUAACUUCAGGAAACUGGGGCUAAUACCGGAUAGGAGCUCCUGCUGCAUGGUGGGGGUUGGAAAGUUGCGGCGGUUGGGGUUGGACUCGCGGCAUAUCAGCUUGAUGGUGGGGUAGUGGAGUACAAAGGCUUUGACGGGUAGCCAGCCUGAGAGGGUGACCGGCCACAGUGGGCUAGAGAUACGGCCCAGAGGCCUACGGGCGGCAGGAGCGGGGACCAGACGAAGAAGCGCGGAAGGAGGAAAGAGCAUCGCCGGGUCCUGGAUGUCUGCUUUUGGGGUGUAACACAUUUGUACGUGACUAGAAGCGUGAGUAAGGGUACUGGGCAAAGAAGCACGGCUAAAUUACGU
rnacentral:rRNA from 1 species